GCGGCCCUCUGGCACGCUCGUCGGGUGGGUGCUCCCUCGUGGGCACGUCACGUCCCUCUGUGUGAUCCCCUGUGGUCACGUUAAUGGGAGCGAGAGGUCAUCCUCCGCCCCGUGCCUCGGACGGUCGUGUCGGGUCCGAGUGUCGCGCGUAUGCCCCACCGAACGUAUCUAAACACACGGGGCAGGCCCCUGGCCAGAUGUACCGCACAACUAUCGUGAUACGAAACAGUUUUUACAACUGGUAGCGUUGGAUCCCUCGGCAUGGCUAUCGAUGAAGAGCGCGGCCAGCUGCGAAAUGUGAUGUGAAUUGCAACUCAAAGCGGUUAUCGUGAAUCAUUGACUACUUGAACGCAUUGCACCGCCCUUUUGGGAGUGGUACGCCCGAUUGAGUGUCAUAAAUCCAUCAGGCUCCUGGGUCUCUGCCGUUCGCUCGGCGACCGUCGCCCGCGCCGCAAGUCGUCUCUCCGGAGGCGAUGGAGGUGCGACGGCGGGAGGCUCUGGGAUCUCUGGCCUCGAGGCUGCACGGCCGUCCCGGUCGCGUGCCUUCAGAUGCAUUAGCGGUCGUCCGGUCCACACAAGUUCGACUCCACGUGAUGGCAUCAUGUUCGUGGAGGAGUGCACGCGCACGCUUGUCGGGUCGGACGCCGCUGCGAACCCGCCCUCGGGCAAACGUCCCGGACGCGUCCGGGACUCCAUGACGUUUGGCCUCAGUCGGGUGGGAUUACCCGCUUGAUUUAAGCAUAU
rnacentral:rRNA from 1 species